AUUGAACGCUGGCGGCAUGCCUUACACAUGCAAGUCGAACGGUAACAGGUCUUCGGAUGCUGACGAGUGGCGAACGGGUGAGUAAUACAUCGGAACGUGCCUAGUAGUGGGGAAUAACUACUCGAAAGAGUGGCUAAUACCGCAUGAGAUCUACGGAUGAAAGCAGGGGAUCGCAAGACCUUGUGCUACUACACCGGCCGAUGGCAGAUUAGGUAGUUGGUGGGAUAAAAGCUUACCAAGCCGACGAUCUGUAGCUGGUCUGAGAGGACGAUCAGCCACACUGGGACUGAGACACGGCCCAGACUCCGACGGGAGGCAGCAGUGGGGAAUUUUGGACAAUGGGCGCAAGCCUGAUCCAGCAAUGCCGCGUGCAGGAUGAAGGCCUUCGGGUUGUAAACUGCUUUUGUACGGAACGAAAAGCCCUGGGUUAAUACCCUGGGGUCAUGACGGUACCGUAAGAAUAAGCACCGGCUAACUACGUGCCAGCAGCCGCGGUAAAAC
rnacentral:rRNA from 1 species